UUACUUUGCUUGUCUCUCCGUGUUCUUGUUCUAGUCCGAAUCAGACCUCUUUGUGUGGGUAUCAAAGGCUCAUUUUUGUUAUUUUCCUCAUCUUCAUAGCUGCUAAUCAUAAAUAUCUCCUUUUAUUUCAUGAAUCAAAGAGAACAAACUAAGUAAGUGAUUCAAUUUAACAAAACUUGGAAAUUUAUUAGAUAAUGCAUGCUCUUUAAAUUAACUUAUGAGAUUUAUAAUUAUACUUUUCAAGUGUAAUCCAUUGGCAGCGCGCGCCACUGGAGUGCUUCGGCAUCUAUGCACUCCCGGCACCUGCUAGCGGGCUCCCCAUUCAGCCCAUCUUGAAACAUGGACCAAGGAGUCUGACAUGUGUGCGAGUCAAUGGGUGAGUAAACCCAUAAGGUGCAAGGAAGCUAAUUGGUGAGAUCCCCUAGUGGGUUGCACCACCGACCGACCUUGAUCUUCUAAGAAGGGUUUGAGUGUAAGCAAGCUUAUCAGGACCCAAAAAUUGGGGAACUACGGCUAAGUAAGGCGAAGCCACAGGAAACAUGGGUGGAGGCCCGUAGCGAUACUGACGUGCAAAUCAUUCGUCUGACUGGGCAUAGGGGCAGUAGACUAAUAAAACCGUCUAGUAGCUGGUUCCCGCUAAAGUUUCCUUCAGCAUAGCUGGAGCUCGAGUGUGAAUUUUAUCGGGUAAAGCCAAAGACUGAGGCAUCGGGAGCGUAACACCCUCAACCUGUUCUCAAACUUUAAAUAGGUAGGAUGGCAUGGUUGCACUGAUCAGCCAAGCCAUGGAAUUAAGAGUCCAAGUGGGCCUUUUUUGGUAAGUAGAACUGGCAAUGCGGGAUGAGUCAGAAAUUGGGUUCUGGUGCCCAAUUCCGUGCUAAGCGAGAACUGACAAAGGGUGUUGGUCGAUUAAACUAGCAGCACGGUGGUCAUGGAAGCCAAAAUCCACUAAGGAGUGUGUAAAAACUCACCUACCAAAUCAACUAGCCCCAAAAAUGGAUGGCACUGAAGCAAGUGCCAAGCCCCGAUGAGUAGGAGGGCGAGGCGGUUGCUAUAAAACCUUGGGCGCAAGUUUAGGCACGCGCAGUCAUUGGUGUGGAUCUUGGUGGUAGUAGCAAAUAUUCAAAUGAGAACUUUGAAGGUCGAAGAGGGGAAAGGUUCUGUGUGAACGACACUUGCACAUGGGUUAGUCGAUACUAAGAGUCGGGGCAGAGAGCACGUCUAGCACGAGCAUCGAAAUGGAAUCGGGUUAAAAUUCCUUAACCGGGACAUGGUGGCUGAAGGCAAUGUUAGGGAAUCCAGAGAAAUCGGUGGGGGCCUUGAGAAUAGUUAUCUAUUCUGUUUGAUAGCCUACCUACCUUAGAAAUGGCUUAGCCAAAAGUGAGAACCAGCGGCUAGAAGAGCACCAUAUGUCAUGUGUUGUCCGAUGCGUCCCCAGCUGCCCUAGAAAAUCUAGAUGAUUGUGUGCCUCCCAGGCUUAGUCGUACUCAAACUGCAUCAAGUCUCCAAGGUGAACAACCUCUAUUUGAUGGGACAAUGUAGGCAAGGGAUGUCAGUAAAAUGGAUCACUUUGGAAAAAGGAUUAGCUUUGAGGGCUAGGUACGGGGGUCCCAGUCUCAAACCCGUUGGCUAUCGGUGGAUUACUCGAGCUGCUCCCACAACUAGAGCAGGUCACCACGUGCUAACUGGCAAAUAGACUGGGAAUGGCUCCUCACAGAGCCUUCCCCAGGCAUUGAACAGUUGACUCAGAACUGGUACAAACAAGGGGAAUCUAACUUUUUAGUUAAAACAAAAUAUUACGAUGGUCCCCCCGAUGCUCUAAAUGUUAAAGUGAAGAAAUUCAAACAAGCAUGGGUAAACGGUGUAGCCAAAUACCUUAUCAUAAAAUUAGUAACACGCAUGAAUAGAUUAAUGAGAUUCCAAUUAUCCCCAUCUACUAUCCAGCGAAACCAUAACUAAGGGAAUGAGCUUGCCAGAAUUAGUGGGGAAAGAAGACCCUGUUAAGCAUGACUCAAGUCCGACUUUGUGAAAUGACUUGAGAGGUGUAGGAUAACUGGGAGCCAAAAAUGGAAAAAGUGAAAUACCAUUACUUUUAACUUUAUUUACUUAUUUCAUGAAUCAGAGGCGGGGUGGAAAAAUGGCAGUUCAAUUCAAUGUUGUCUAAGAAGGAGUUAGAAAUAGGUGUGGAUUAACACUACCCCUCUUUUUGGACUGAAGACUUGUCUUUAUGAGCCGAUCCAGGUGGAAGACAAUGUCAGGUAGGGAGUUUGGCUAGGGUGGCACAUCUGUUUGAAGAUAACGUGUGUGUCCUAAGUUGAGCUCAAUGAGAACAGAAAUUUGGUGUGGAACAGAAGGGUAAAAGCUCGUUUGAUUUUGAUUUCUAGUUCGAAUAUGAACCAUGAAAGUAUGGCCUAAUGAUCCUUUAGAUCUUUGAAAUUUGAAGCUAGACGUGCAUGAAAAGUUACCACAAGGAUAACUACCUUGUGGUAGCCAAUCAUUCAUAGUGACGUUGCUUUUUGAUCCUUUUAAGUCAGCUAUUCCUAUCAUUGUGAAGCAGAAUUCACUAAAUGUUGGAUUGUUCACCCGCCAAUAGGGAAUGUCACUUAGGUUUAGACUAUCAUGAGAUAAGUUAGUUUUACCCUAUUGAUGAUGUUGUUGCAAUAGUAAUUCAACCUAGUAAAAGAGGAACUAUUGAAUUGCACAACUGGUCAUCGUACUUGGUCGAAAAGCCAGUGGCAUGAAGCUAUCGUGCACUGGAUUAUGACUGAAUGCCUUUAAGUCAACGUUCGGGCUAGAAUCGAUGUAUGUGCUCGCUGUUCAGUUACUGACCAAUAGUAGGUGCCCUUUAAACCCAAAGGCAUGUACGCCACACGGGCCGCCUUAAAGUAAAAUUCCAAUCGAGUAGCGAGUAGAUACCUUUGUAGAUGACAUAAAUAUGUGACGGGGAAUUGGAAGUGGUAGAGUGACCUUGCUACCGAGAUCCACUGAGAUUUAGCCCUUCGU
rnacentral:rRNA from 1 species